rnacentral:rRNA from 1 species
AUGAACUGCCGGAGGGAGCUACUCCCGCGCGCGGAGUUCAUGCAAUUUCUCAAAAGGCUUUUGAACGGCUACAGAGAUGUCAGCUCGCUAGAUAUCCAAGGGCUCGGAUAUGUGACACCUCCUCCAACAUUCCCUGCCAAAUACCUAAUUGUUGACAUUACUCGUCCAUCGGGUGAACAAGCAUUGCCAAGGUCAAUAAUGCAGUUUUUAGUCCGGCUUUCUGACAAUUACACGGUGGGCUUACGCAAUACCCCGGAGGAUCCCUACUCCAGAGGUGGCUGGUUUCUCUUCAACAACAAGGAUAUCAUAGAUGGAUUUCCUGAUUUUAUGGGCGACUUCGACAUAAUGAAUAAAGAUUGUGGUUACUUCCAUUUUGAGGAUAUUUGUGUCCGUGAAAAAAUUAUCUCUGUUAUUGUUGCGGCCCUGAGUGGAAUCACAGAGUUCAAUUGCAAGUACUUGCCUGAUGAUACAAAAGCGAAGAUUGAAGCAAAGCUGGUGUUGAUUGGGGAGUGCCCGCGGCUCCAUGUUCCUUUGCAAUACACCAUGGAGAUUUUCGAGAGCCUUGGUUUCAGUUUCCUACCAGCUGAGGAGCUCUUUCAUAUGCGUCAUUGGUCAUUUUUGUGCAAGGCGACCUUUGCAUUGUAUCUUGCAAUUCUUGAAGCAGAAAAAGGAGUGUCCUCUAAGAAAGAAAGUUUCAUAAAUGCAAGGAGGCUUUUGGUCGCAACGGUGCAGAAAUUCAGUGACCAGGGUCACAUGCUUAAUCUGAAAAGUGCUGACGGGUUCUUCUCCCUUAGGAGACUCGCAGGCGGCCUUGUACGGCUCUUCAAGUACAACAAGGUGUGGGUCCAAAAACUUAUCACGAGGAAGUCUCUGGACUACAAAGCUUCAUUUAAGCAUGUUAAGCAUGAUGAGAAAGAAUUUAAAGAGCUUCUAGUUGGAGAGCCUGACAUCAUCAGUGAACAGGCUGAAUACAAUCACUGGAUGAAGCUCUUGUCUCGUGAUGAACUCCUCUCGACUCUGAUGCAGUAUGAUGGCGUGGAUGAUCCCGUGGAAGGACCCUGGAGAGGCUGUUACACUGCCUUGCUGGCGGCGGAGGUGGAGGAGGUGGAGGAAGUGGAGGAUGAGGAUGAGGAGGAGGAGGAGGAUGAUGAGGAGGAUGAUGAUGAUGAGGCGUAG